UACGUUCCCGAGGAGUUGGGCCUAGCAAUAUGGCAGCGCACGUUCCAUAGGAAACCCUGCAGAACGCUGUUGCUGCUGCUGCUGAGGUAAUUUGGAAUUCUCAGUCAGUAUCUCCCUUCCCCUUCUCAUUCCUUAAAAUUGUUUCAAGCACA
rnacentral:lncRNA from 1 species